rnacentral:RNase_P_RNA from 1 species
AAAGCGGGCCAGGCAAUCGCGGCCUCGACGGUUUCGGCCAAAGAGGGCGAGGAAAGUCCGGACUCCACAGGGCAGGGUGAUGGCUAACGGCCAUCCGUGGCAACACGCGGAACAGGGCAACAGAAAGCAAACCGCCGAUGGCUCCGGGCGCAAGUCCGGAGAUCAGGUAAGGGUGAAACGGUGCGGUAAGAGCGCACCGCGGACGUCGCGAGACGAUCCGGCACGGUAACCUCCACCCGGAGCAAUUCCGAAUAGGCAGGCGCGCAUCCACGCGAUGCAGGACGGGGCCCCCGUCCGUCUGCGGGUAGGAAGCUUGAGCGCGUCAGCAAUGGCGCGUCUAGAGGAAUGAUUGCCACGCGCGUUCGGUUUCGGUCGGCGCGUGCACAGAAUCCGGCUUAUCGGCCCGCUUUGUCG